UACGUAGGGUGCGAGCGUUGUCCGGAAUUAUUGGGCGUAAAGGGCUCGUAGGCGGUUUGUCGCGUCGGGAGUGAAAUCCACUGGCUUAACUGGUGGCUUGCUUUCGAUACGGGCAGACUGGAGGCAUGCAGGGGAGAACGGAAUUCCUGGUGUAGCGGUGAAAUGCGCAGAUAUCAGGAGGAACACCGGUGGCGAAAGCGACUUCCUGGACCAAUACUGACGCUCAUGUGCGAAAGCGUGGGGAGCAAACAGG
rnacentral:rRNA from 1 species